GUCGAAUCGUCGAUGGUGUCGAUGGAUCCUCUUCGGGAAGCGUGUGGAGGCGACGAGAACGAGAGAACCGAUAAUCUGUCCAUCGGUGGAGAAACGGUGAGCGCCGCCGCAGGGGUUGGAUCCGAUGGAAAGCUCGGAAGCGGUGAGUUGAAAGCAGUGAAGGAAGAAUCGGACGCCGCGGCGACGGUUGAUGUUUCGUCGGAAGAGGUUUCCACUCCACAAGUGAUUAAAACCGAUCGGAUCGACGAAUUAGCCACCGAGAAUGGCGGCACGGUACGGUCUGAAAUAGACGGCGUCGGAGAAGCGGAAGGAGUUGCGGAAGAAGGGGAACCGCCUUCGAAAAGGCUGAAGCAGCUCACAGACAUUGGCGAAACCGAAAUCGGAAAGACCGAAGUUGCAAUGACGGAACUGCCUUCGUCGGCCGACGCAAUUCCUCCCACUUCCAGUUCUGCGAAACCGCCGGCGGCGAAAACGGGCAAGAAAUCGAAGAAGAAGAGCAAGGACGUGUGGGUGAGCACUUCCAGGAAGGGGAAGAAGAAGACCAAACAAGCAUCGAACAAUAUUAAAUCUAAUACUGCCCUCAACGGGGACGCAUCAGCUGGGCAAAAGCUGUUGAUUGCCCCAAUCGCUAGGUUACCCGACAGGAACGACGAUAGUCCAGAUUUGAAGAUAUGCGUUUCGAAAGUUCACAAGGCGGACAAGGUUGAUUUAAGCGAGGACAGAUUAACAGCGAGCAGCAUAAAGGGUUACAGAAUGGUGAGGGCGACGAGGGGAGUGGCAGCUGGUGCGUGGUAUUUCGAAAUCAAAGUGGAGUAUUUGGGGGAGACGGGGCACACGAGGCUGGGAUGGUCGACUGAGAAAGGGGACUUGCAGGCUCCUGUAGGGUUUGAUGCUAAUAGUUAUGGUUAUAGGGAUAUCGACGGCAGUAAAGUGCACAAGGCGUUGAGAGAGACGUAUGGUAGUGAAGGCUACAAGGAAGGUGAUGUUUUAGGAUUCUAUAUAAAUUUACCAGAUGGAGAUUCCUAUGCCCCUAAUCCGCCACGGUUGGUCUGGCACAAGGGGCAGCGCUAUGUUACUGCUCCCGACCCCAAGCAGGACCCCCCAAAAGUGGUGCCCGGAAGUGAGGUAUCUUAUUUCAGAAAUGGAGUAUGCCAGGGGGUUGCUUUCACAGAUCUCUAUGGUGGUCGAUACUACCCUGCUGCUUCUAUGUACACUCUCCCAAACUACCCCCCCUGUGUUGUGAAGUUCAAUUUUGGUCCUGAUUUUGAAUGCUUUCCUGAAGACUUCGGUGAACGACCUGUUCCAAGGCCUAUGAUUGAAGUUCCAUACCAGAGUUAUGAUAGCGCAGCUGAACAUGGUAAUCCAUGGAAUAUUAUCAGAAUGUGUCCUAUGCUCAAAGUAAAAGAGGAAAACUGUAAAAUUGUGAAAGGUGCUAAAAUGCUUGGUUAAGCUUGAGCUAGCACUCAGGAAUUGGUCUAGCUGCCAUUGCUGCUUCCAUUGGCAUCAAACAAUAUCAUUCGAGGAUGAACAAUGGCAUUGAACAAGAAAAUUUUGGACUUUCUUCGGCACCAACUAACAGAAACAUCAGCCAUAUUCAGGCUGUGUCCAAUUAGAUCCCUGUGGAGCACAAUUUAAAAGGUUAGCAUGCUUCAGUUAUUUGUUUUGUAUGGAAUUAGACAAUUAGUUGUGAAAAAUGAUUCUACUGAGAAUGUUGUGUUUACCUCAAUUAUAUGAAUCAC